CCUACGGGAGGCAGCAGUGGGGGAUAUUGGACAAUGGGGGGAACCCUGAUCCAGCGACGCCGCGUGAGUGAAGAAGUAUUUCGGUAUGUAAAGCUCUGUCAGCAGGGAAGAAAGCAAUGACGGUACCUGACCAAGAAGCCCCGGCUAACUACGUGCCAGCAGCCGCGGUAAUACGUAGGGGGCAAGCGUUAUCCGGAAUUACUGGGUGUAAAGGGAGCGUAGACGGCUGUGCAAGUCUGGAGUGAAAGGCGGGGGCCCAACCCCCGGACUGCUCUGGAAACUGUAUGGCUGGAGUGCAGGAGAGGUACGCGGAAUUCCUAGUGUAGCGGUGAAAUGCGUAGAUAUUAGGAGGAACACCAGUGGCGAAGGCGGCUUACUGGACUGCAACUGACGUUGAGGCUCGAAAGCGUGGGGAGCAAACAGGAUUAGAUACCCGAGUAGUC
rnacentral:rRNA from 1 species